CCCUUAGAUGUUCUGGGCUGCACGCGUGCUACAAUGGCGUUUCCAGCAAGUCUGCGGACCCGAGAGGGCCAGCGGAUCUUCGAAUUGGCGUCGUGAUCGGGACAGUCGAUUGCAAUUAUUUGACUCAAACGAGGAAUUCCUUGUAAUCGCGAUUCAUCAUAUCGCGCUGAAUACGUCCCUGCCCUUUGUACACACCGCCCGUCGCUCCUACCGAUUGAGCGAUCCGGUAAAUGUUUUGGAUUGGUGCCGGGGCGGCUAGCUGCCGGUCGCUACGAAAUUUUGUGAACCUUAUCGCUUAGAGGAAGGAAAAGUCGUAACA
rnacentral:rRNA from 1 species